AAGUAUUUUUUUUUUAAAAAAAAAAGAAAGGACAUGGUAAGGGAAAAACACAGUGGUGGCUUGGCCCAGGGUACACUUCUCAGCUUCCUGAAGUCUGUCACAAGUAGCUGCUCCAGCUCGAAUGGCCAUCCCUUAACAGUCUGCUCAAGUUGUUCUGUGAAGUAGGCAACAGGUGGAGGGAUAUUCCCCAGAGUUUGAAUUAAUGCUAGGAGACUUAUGCUUCGUGUCUCAUGGACAUAUAAUCUGAAAGGUUUCUUUAAGCCUGGUCAUCCCAAAGCCCGGCUGAGACUAACUUUGUUCUUAUUGUUUCAAAGACUGUUUGGCACUCUUUAAUCCAAGUAAGGAACUAAAAAUCAUGUCCCUCUAAAGCCUCCCAUGCUGGUCUGCUCCCCACCUGUACCUUCUGCAUUUGCCUUUUGAUCAUCUCAACUCAAAGCAUCAGGCAGACCAGCAACAACAUCCCAGCAACACUGACAGUAUUGCUCUUAGGGUCACCCUGAAAUGGGACUUGACUUCAUGCUCAUCCCACCUGAAUCCACAAGACUCCUGUUCUUGAGACCCUCCCUGCCCCUAAUCCUGCCAGGGGAGAGGCCACUCCAGGAUACCCCUGCUUCCUCACAGAACAUCACAGGAAGCCACAGAGGUUCCCAGUGGCAGGUUGGUCUCCACCUCUGCCCACUGGGGGUGGGGUGGGUUCUGCUGGUCCCACUGGGCAGGAUGGCCCCUGACUCUUGCAGUGCUCUGGCUCAGACACUUCUCGUCCCAAUGCCAGAUCGGUGUCACCAUCUGGGGAUGGACCAAAAGAUCAGCUGGGAGAAUUUGCCCUUCAGACCCCCCUGAUGGUUACAGUCACUGAUGGAGGCACCCGCGUAAAACAGCACGGGAAAAGCAUCAGCUGAAACUGGUUUUUCCUCCUUAAAUAGGUUGAUUGAUUAAUGAAACCUUGAUUCUAUUUUAAAGAAACAGCACUGUGCCCAGUGCAAGAGGGGACGUCUUCAGGAUGACCCUGGAACCAAGAAUCUUCAGUCUACAGUGCUCAAAGAAUAGGACAAAGUGACUGGUAAUAUCCUGAAGAUGGAGCUGGCCACGCUUGGAGACCUGGGCACCGUCUAGGCACGGUUCCGCCUGCCCAGCGUCGCCACGGGGGCUGCAGUCUAGUGCGGAGGGGCGUUGGCAACCCUUGGGCUCCCCUUCCUGCGCUACGCACCUGGGGACCCUGCCCUUAAAACGCUGGGGAAGUCA